UACGUAGGUGUCGAGCGUUGUCCGGAUUUAUUGGGCGUAAAGCGCCCGCAGGCGGCUUGGCAAGUUUGAGGUGAAAUCUCCCGGCUCAACUGGGAGGGUGCCUCGAAAACUGCCAGGCUUGAGUCAUGGAGAGGGAUGUGGAAUUCCAGGUGUAGUGGUGAAAUGCGUAGAUAUCUGGAGGAACACCGGUGGCGAAGGCGGCAUCCUGGACCGGUAUUGACGCUGAGGCGCGAAAGCCAGGGGAGCAAACGGG
rnacentral:rRNA from 1 species